GAGCAAGUGCGCAGAAUUACGAGGCAUGGGCUCGCCCGCGGCCGCGUCCUGCAGGAGCAGCGCCCUGCCCAGCCUAGGGGCCGACCCAAACAAACACCGGUCUUGCUGGGAAUAAGGAAAUUAUCCCGAUGCGGCCGGCGGAAGAGCUGACGGACACGGCGCAGGGCGGGGAUGAAGAUGGAGCCCACGCAACGCGCUGCGGGUUUUUCCUCGAUUUCGCCAGAAAAUCAAAACAAGGCAGGGAAAAAAAUGCGAGGGUCUAGAGGAAACAAAUAGCGCAACAAAAUAAAAGCAGCAGCGGGUUUUUGGGAGCCGCUUCUCGCCGGGAUGAGAACCGGGGCUGGAGGCUGGGAACCGGCGGGGCAGAAACACAACGCUGCCACUCGCCCAACAUUUCGAAGGCGAAACCCAAAACCGACCCAUUAAGUCAAUGAGGUUUGUGUUGUGGAGGCUCCUUUCCCAUCCACUUGCUGUUCUGAAAAAUAGAUCGCAUUUCGUUAUCUCGAGCGAGGAUCUGCAACGUGAUACCGGAUCCGCGCCGCCUUCCCCGCCGAACGCGGGGCGCGGGGAGACAGCCAGCUUCCCGGCUUAUUCCCCAACAAUAAAGGAUUUGUGUUUUCUUUCUC